UACGUAGGGUGCGAGCGUUAAUCGGAAUUACUGGGCGUAAAGCGUGCGCAGGCGGUUUUGUAAGUCAGAUGUGAAAUCCCCGGGCUCAACCUGGGAACUGCAUUUGAGACUGCAAGGCUAGAGUGUAGCAGAGGGGGGUAGAGUUCCACGUGUAGCAGUGAGAUGCGUAGAGAUGUGGAGGAAUACCGAUGGCGAAGGCAGCCCCCUGGGUUACUACUGACGCUCAUGCACGAAAGCGUGGGGAGCAAAC
rnacentral:rRNA from 1 species